GAUGAACGCUGGCGGCGUGCCUAAUACAUGCAAGUCGAGCGAAUGGAUUAAGAGCUUGCUCUUAUGAAGUUAGCGGCGGACGGGUGAGUAACACGUGGGUAACCUGCCCAUAAGACUGGGAUAACUCCGGGAAACCGGGGCUAAUACCGGAUAACAUUUUGAACCGCAUGGUUCGACAUUGAAAGGCGGCUUCGGCUGUCACUUAUGGAUGGACCCGCGUCGCAUUAGCUAGUUGGUGAGGUAACGGCUCACCAAGGCAACGAUGCGUAGCCGACCUGAGAGGGUGAUCGGCCACACUGGGACUGAGACACGGCCCAGACUCCUACGGGAGGCAGCAGUAGGGAAUCUUCCGCAAUGGACGAAGGUCUGACGGAGCAACGCCGCGUGAGUGAUGAAGGCUUUCGGGUCGUAAAACUCUGUUGUUAGGGAAGAACAAGUGCUAGUUGAAUAAGCUGACACCUUGACGGUACCUAACCAGAAAGCCACGGCUAACUACGUGCCAGCCGCCGCCGUAA
rnacentral:rRNA from 1 species